rnacentral:tRNA from 2 species
GCGGAUGUAGUUUAGUGGUAAAACUACAGCCUUCCAAGCUGUUGUCGCGAGUUCGAUUCUCGUCAUCCGCU